AAGUAAUAUGUAUUUACAUUUCCGUAUGUGAGUAUUUGGGCGUGACUUGAGUAACAAUAAAGCAAUAGGGGGUUACUUGUGCCGUGAACGCAAAUACUGCGGACACAGACUGAUCUAGGUGGGCUGUGUUGCCUCAGUGGUAGAGUUUCCGUGAUAGGGAACGGCACUUAGUAGGUUUCCAAAGAGAACAAAGUACAGGUUGGUCCAUGGGGUGAUUACUAUUCUGGAAAAUUCAGUAGACCUGAAAACUGCAAAAACUGCAUAAAUCAAUCAAUCCUUUGUGUUUGUUUGUGAAAUGGAGUUAGGUGCUAAGGCUUAUAUGACUGUGAACAGUUUUCUCGCCUAUAUCGACAGUCUGGUUAGGAGCCCCACGUGAAACAGACAGACACAGAAAUAAAUGUGUAGAAGGGAGCUUCUUUUCUUCCCUCUCAUCUCUGGAAGAAAGGAUUGUAAUACAGCUUGUGAUUUCCAGAAGAGUGGAAACUUCCUUUGAGUCUCAUUGUAUCUUAGCAUCACAGGGCUUGAAUCAAUGGGAAACGUGAGGAUGGGUUUCAAGCACACGUGUCUUCUUUCUUAUUUCCUUCUCUCUGACAGAGUUUGGAAGGCAGUCUUGCUCCGGGAGAACUUUCCUUCUCCCUUGAAUCUUUUUAGCAAAAUCCAAGAACGGAGUGAAGAACUUGGACUGACGAUUGUUUGAAGCUACACUCACCGCUGUUGUAAAGCAGAGCCUGUGAAUCUUGUUACCUCUGCGGUCUGCCUGCCUGAGUUGAAACCCCGGCUCUCGCACUAGCGAGCUCUUCGUCUUGGGCAAAUUCUUGACGCUCUCCAAGCCUGUCUCCUCAUCUGUGAAAUGGGCUGCCCCACAAGGCCUAGCACGGAGCGCCUGUGGACCCCUGGGCGCCUGCGUCCUGCGCCGUUGGAGUGGCGACUCGGUGCACGUGUGUGUCCCCCGCUGUCACCCCGUGGGAUGGACGCCUUCCAGCGGAUUUUUCUCCUGCGGUUUGGGUGAUGGCGAUGUUUGGAGAAGGCAGCAACUGGCCGAUUGGAUGGAGGAGGACCUGGCGGGCCCCUCAAGUCAUUAUUUAUGAAGAGACAUAUUUCUAACGAAGAUAUACAGGUGGGCGACAGGCACAGGAAAAGAUGCUCAACGUCACUACUUAUUAGGAAAAUACAAAUGAAAAGCACAAUGAGAUACCCACCUCAGGCCGGUCAGAAGGGCUAGUAGAAAAAGACAAGAAUUAACAGGUCUUGGAAGUACGUGGUGCAAAGGGAACCCUAGUACCCUGCUGGUGGGAGUGUAAAUUGGUACAGCCGCUGUGGAAAACCGUAUGAAGAUUUUUCAAAAAGUUAACAAUAGAACUACCCCGUAUGAUCCAGCUAUUCCACUUCUGGGUGUUCAUCCAAAGCACACAAAAGCGCUAAUUCAAAAAGAUAUAUGAACCCCUGUGUUCAUCGCAGCGUUAUUCAGAACAGCCAAGACUUGGAAACAACCUAAGUGCCCAUCGCCCGACAAAUAGAUAAAGAAGUUGUGGGAGAUAUACACAAGGGAAUAUAGUACUUAGCCGUAGAAAAGAGGAAAUCUUGCCAUUUGCGACAGCAGGGAUGGACCUCGGGCGUAUUACGCUAAGCGGGAUGAGUCAGGUGGAGAAAGACAGAUACCGUGUGACUUCACUCGUGUAUGUGGAAGGUAAACAAGCAAACACAUAGAGACAGAACAGACUGGUGGUUAGCAGAAGGAAAAGGGCGGGAGGAGGGGGAAGGGGGAUAAGGGGCAGCUGUGUACGAUGACGGAUGGCAGUUAGAGCUGUGGCGGGGAACACGACGUAGUCUGUGCAGAAGGCGAACUAUAAUGAUGCACAUCGAAGAAUAAAAUCUAGGCCCCUUCCAGAAGUUGGAUGCCGUCCACCAGUAAGCUCCGGAUGCUGUGCUCUGAAAGCCGGGUGGGUCCCCAACAGGCGCUAGCCAGUACUGAGGACUGCCCUGGCGUAGAGGCCCCUCGGCUUGAGGCCUUGCUCCUUCGCGUGCAGUGUGAGCUGAGCCCACUGCUGACCCUCAGUGGUGAAGUGGCUCAGUGACCCUGGCCUUGCAUGUGGUGGCAAAGGUUACGUGAGGUGGUGCGUUCGCGGGCCUGGUGCGCAGGUGUUGAGGAAAUGGUGAUUUCUAUCCCA